rnacentral:rRNA from 1 species
CCUACGGGUGGCAGCAGUGGGGAAUAUUGCACAAUGGGGGAAACCCUGAUGCAGCGACGCCGCGUGAAGGAAGAAGUAUUUCGGUAUGUAAACUUCUAUCAGCAGGGAAGAAAAUGACGGUACCUGACUAAGCAGCCCCGGCUAACUACGUGCCAGCAGCCGCGGUAAUACGUAGGGGGCAAGCGUUAUCCGGAUUUACUGGGUGUAAAGGGAGCGUAGGCGGUUUAGCAAGUCAGAAGUGAAAGCCCCGGGCUCAACCCCGGGACUGCUUUUGAAACUGGUGAACUAGAGUGCAGGAGAGGUAAGUGGAAUUCCUAGUGUAGCGGUGAAAUGCGUAGAUAUUAGGAGGAACACCAGUGGCGAAGGCGGCUUACUGGACUGUAAAUGACGCUGAGGCUCGAAAGCGUGGGGAGCAAACAGGAUUAGAUACCCUUGUAGUC